CAUCAGCUCCUGGAAACAAAUGCACUUAACCAGAAAAAUAGGGACAUCAACCAGCAAAGAUGCAACCUCAUUUAAUAGAGCUUGAAAUUACUAUAAUCUUUAAAGUACAGUGAGAAGAAGAAAUUUCACCUGCCUGCACAUCUGUCGUUGACUCUCCAUCUGACUUGGAGGGACUCUGAGGGACCAACCUGAGCCUGGGAAGAGGCAAGAUUCCCCUUCAAGGACACACUGGGAACUUACGGACCUCUUUCUCCAUGGUGCAGAGCGCAGAGAAGACAGCAGGAUUCUCAUCUCUCCUGCAUUCCAUUUGAGACAAGAUGUUCGAAUUGAAGCAAAUGAGAAACAUACAAAGAAAUGAAGUAAAUAAAGAAGCUAUGGCCUCACCCUGAUAUGUUGCUGGUAGGAGAGACAGCAGCAAACACAGGAAACUCAAGGAAAAUCAGUGUGGCUAGAGACAGAUACUGAACUGGAGCCUGGAAUGAGUUGAGGCUGGAGAGGGAGGUGAACAAACAGACUCAGAAUAGUCCUUGAGCUUGCCAUUGGGAAGUGAAAAUCAACUGCUUGAAUAAAUGUAAGGACU